GAUGAACGCUGGCGGCGUGCUUAACACAUGCAAGUCGAACGGUGAAGCAGAGCUUGCUCUGUGGAUCAGUGGCGCACGGGUGAGUAACACGUGAGCAACCUGCCCCUGACUCUGGGAUAAGCGCUGGAAACGGCGUCUAAUACUGGAUAUGAGCUGCGACCGCAUGGUCAGCAGUUGGAAAGAUUUUUCGGUCUGGGAUGGGCUCACGGCCUAUCAGCUUGUUGGUGAGGUAAUGGCUCACCAAGGCGUCGACGGGUAGCCGGCCUGAGAGGGUGACCGGCCACACUGGGACUGAGACACGGCCCAGACUCCUACGGGAGGCAGCAGUGGGGAAUAUUGCACAAUGGGCGAAAGCCUGAUGCAGCAACGCCGCGUGAGGGAUGACGGCCUUCGGGUUGUAAACCUCUUUUAGCAGGGAAGAAGCGAAAGUGACGGUACCUGCAGAAAAAGCGCCGGCUAACUACGUG
rnacentral:rRNA from 1 species